rnacentral:rRNA from 1 species
UACGGGGGGGGUAAGCGUUGUUCGGAAUUACUGGGCGUAAAGGGCUCGUAGGCGGCCAACUAAGUCAGACGUGAAAUCCCUCGGCUUAACCGGGGAACUGCGUCUGAUACUGGAUGGCUUGAGUGUGGGAGAGGAAUGCGGAAUUCCAGGUGUAGCGGUGAAAUGCGUAGAUAUCUGGAGGAACACCGGUGGCGAAGGCGGCAUCCUGGACCAACACUGACACUGAGGAGCGAAAGCCAGGGGAGCAAACGGG